CGAACGCUGGCGGCGUGCCUAACACAUGCAAGUCGAACGAGAAAAUCCGCUUCGGUGGGUGAGUAAAGUGGCGAACGGGUGAGUAACGCGUGGGUAACCUACCCUAAUGCUGGGGAUAACAUUUCGAAAGAGGUGCUAAUACCCGAUAAGACUUAGGAUUUUUAGAAAUUCAAAGUGAAAGGUGGCCUCUCCUUGGAAGCUACCACUUUAGGAUGGGCCCGCGUACCAUUAGCUAGUUGGUGAGGUAAAGGCUCACCAAGGCGAUGAUGGUUAGUUGGUCUGAGAGGAUGAUCAGCCACACUGGCACUGAGACACGGGCCAGACUCCUACGGGAGGCAGCAGUGGGGAAUAUUGCGCAAUGGGGGAAACCCUGACGCAGCAACGCCGCGUGAGUGAUGAAGGCCUUAGGGUUGUAAAGCUCUGUCAGGUGGAAAGAAACGUUUUAUCCAUAAUACGGGUAAAGCUUGACGGUACCACCAAAGGAAGCACCGGCUAACUCC
rnacentral:rRNA from 1 species